UUCAGGACGUCCGACCCUCCAGGACCGAGUUUGGGCACACCUGCUUUACACAAACGGCGCUGGAUUCAGUUUAUAUUUACCAACUGCCCAUCGAAACCAAGCCUGUAAAUGCAUCCUUUUAUUGCAGCAAAGAGGAAGGACUUUCUGAAGAUGAACACCUGCAGCUCGUCUAUUUCAGCUCUGCUGACCUUUCUGAUGUCGUCCAACAUGAUGUUUUGAGCUUCUUCUCACACUGAAAAACUGACAAACCAUUGUCCAGCUCCAAACAAGGCCAUUGCAUAAGGACCCACUGAAGAGUUUCAGACAUGCACAGAGAAAAAGAGAUGAUGUGACUGCACGAGGAGCUCUGAUAGUCCGCCCACUGCUACAGCAACAAACUAAUCCACCUCCUCUCCUGAUUGGUUGACAGACCGUUGUUUUGAUUGGGAUUGCAACAUGCUAAUUGGCUGCGCAAAGUUGGCGUAAGUGGGUGAUGAAGAGGCUGAGGGGUGCUUCGGUUUGGACAGCUGUUGAAGAAGAAGAGGAGGGUGAAGGAAAGAAAGACAGAGAUAAAGGAGUGCACGUGGGCUGAGACAAAAGUGCUUGUCAGACUCGCCGCAGCCUGUUGACUGAGAUAAGCUGCAACUUGAGGAGGCGGCGAUUCUCCGCCCACGGAACCUUAGCGACACCGCCAUUUGCAGAUGUAUGAUGCACAUAAAUGUGUGUUUGUUCAAUUACGGACGUUUUUUAGAAUUUCAGGGGUUGAUUUUUAU